rnacentral:rRNA from 1 species
CUCUGAUGUUAGCGGCGGACGGGUGAGUAACACGUGGAUAACCUACCUAUAAGACUGGGAUAACUUCGGGAAACCGGAGCUAAUACCGGAUAAUAUUUUGAACCGCAUGGUUCAAAAGUGAAAGACGGUCUUGCUGUCACUUAUAGAUGGAUCCGCGCUGCAUUAGCUAGUUGGUAAGGUAACGGCUUACCAAGGCAACGAUGCAUAGCCGACCUGAGAGGGUGAUCGGCCACACUGGAACUGAGACACGGUCCAGACUCCUACGGGAGGCAGCAGUAGGGAAUCUUCCGCAAUGGGCGAAAGCCUGACGGAGCAACGCCGCGUGAGUGAUGAAGGUCUUCGGAUCGUAAAACUCUGUUAUUAGGGAAGAACAUAUGUGUAAGUAACUGUGCACAUCUUGACGGUACCUAAUCAGAAAGCCACGGCUAACUACGUGCCAGCAGCCGCGGUAAUACGUAGGUGGCAAGCGUUAUCCGGAAUUAUUGGGCGUAAAGCGCGCGUAGGCGGUUUUUUAAGUCUGAUGUGAAAGCCCACGGCUCAACCGUGGAGGGUCAUUGGAAACUGGAAAACUUGAGUGCAGAAGAGGAAAGUGGAAUUCCAUGUGUAGCGGUGAAAUGCGCAGAGAUAUGGAGGAACACCAGUGGCGAAGGCGACUUUCUGGUCUGUAACUGACGCUGAUGUGCGAAAGCGUGGGGAUCAAACAGGAUUAGAUACCCUGGUAGUCCACGCCGUAAACGAUGAGUGCUAAGUGUUAGGGGGUUUCCGCCCCUUAGUGCUGCAGCUAACGCAUUAAGCACUCCGCCUGGGGAGUACGACCGCAAGGUUGAAACUCAAAGGAAUUGACGGGGACCCGCACAAGCGGUGGAGCAUGUGGUUUAAUUCGAAGCAACGCGAAGAACCUUACCAAAUCUUGACAUCCUUUGACAACUCUAGAGAUAGAGCCUUCCCCUUCGGGGGACAAAGUGACAGGUGGUGCAUGGUUGUCGUCAGCUCGUGUCGUGAGAUGUUGGGUUAAGUCCCGCAACGAGCGCAACCCUUAAGCUUAGUUGCCAUCAUUAAGUUGGGC